GGAAAAUAUUCUAUUCAUAAAACACAGAAUUAACGCGGGCGGAUGAGGAACUUGCUAAAUGUGCUUUAUUGUCAAUUAAAUCGAAUAUUUUACUGUGAGCGAGCAGAAAUGGUUCACUCAUAGGGUUUUAGAAUGGAUUUCAUCGUGUAAAAGCAACAGCUUAAAGGAAGGACAAUAAAGGCCAAAACCAAAGGAACAACAACCCACGCUAUGACGUACCCACAAUUAAGUGGUAUGACAUUUAAUUAGCCUCUUUGAAACGAGGAGGUAGUCGACUUGCAAUGGCUGAUGUCACACACACGGAUAUAUAGAUACAUAUAUAUAUAUAUAUAUAUAUAUAUAUAUAUGAAGCACUCGCAAAGGGCGCGAGUUUCGACAAGGAGAACUAUUAAAAAUUAAUGACAAUGCAAAUAGGCGAACUAAACAAAGGUGGCACAGGAACACGGCCAAGACCCGAAUGCCAAGUAGGCCAAAAAGUUAACACAAGCGAUACAGUACGAAAACCUAACUGGGUUAAGAAGUUCGCACCCAGGCGAUACAGAAAAACUCAGAAUUUGUAAACAGGAAAGAAUACAAUUAAAUGUUGACGCAUCAAGGCAAGCCAGCUUGUACAAGACAGCCAAAAAUUGGCACGAAUGCACGACAAAAAAAUAGUUAGAUAUAUGGAAUGCUCCUUCGGAUUCCCUCUACUAAACCCUUUCAUAAUAAUCACAUAUAAAAUCAUUGAUCGAAUGCUUUUCUGUGUACCGAAUUCAGCUAAUAAGCCAUCAUCAUCAACAGCAAAAUAGAAAAACACUCGGAACAGAGCAGAACAGAAAAGAAUAGUUCAGAGCAGAACAGACCAGACGACAUUCAAUUUAUUGACGGACAAAGUGGCUAUAGCGAAGGCGACGUUCUGGCGACGGACACAUCGGGAUGGAAAACGCCCGAAAUCGAGGCGAGCCAUCCGAAAUGGGGAGCUUGCCGAACGAAACGAAUCAUUAAUCAAAUUGAAGGAGAGUCAAACCUUAAAACCGAUGAAGUGCACACAAAGUGCGAUAAAAACUUUGGAAAUUUCAAAACUGUCAAUUAACCGAAGAGGCAAUUUUGAAAAUUU
ensembl:ncRNA lncRNA:CR45811 long non-coding RNA:CR45811